GAGUUUGAUCAUGGCUCAGAACGAACGCUGGCGGCAGGCUUAACACAUGCAAGUCGAGCGCGAAAAUCCUUCGGGAUGAGUAGAGCGGCGCACGGGUGAGUAACACGUGAGUAAUCUGCCUUUUGAUCUGGGAUAACAGCACGAAAGAGCUGCUAAUACCGGAUAAGACUCCGCGACUGCGGUCGUGAAGGAAAAGGGUGGGACCUCUUCGGAGGCCAUCUGUCAGAAGAUGAGCUCGCGGCCCAUUAGGUCGUUGGUGGGGUAAUGGCCUACCAAGCCUACGAUGGGUAGCUGGUCUGAGAGGACGAUCAGCCACACUGGAACUGAGACACGGUCCAGACUCCUACGGGAGGCAGCAGUGGGGAAUCUUGCGCAAUGGGCGAAAGCCUGACGCAGCCAUGCCGCGUGAGUGAAGAAGGCUUUCGGGUCGUAAAACUCUGUCGGCAGGAACGAUGGUGUAUGUCUCUAAUAAAGUCAUGCAUUGACGGUAGCUCCAAAGGAAGCACCGGCUAACUCUGUGCCAGCAGCCGCGGUAAUACAGAGGGUGCAAGCGUUGUUCGGAUUUAUUGGGCGUAAAGCGCACGUAGGCGGUCACUUAAGUCGGAUGUGAAAGCCCAGGGCUCAACCUUGGAAGUGCAUCCGAAACUGAUGAGCUAGAGUUCUCGGAGAGGGUAGUGGAAUUCCUGGUGUAGAGGUGAAAUUCGUAGAUAUCAGGAGGAACACCGGUGGCGAAGGCGACUACCUGGACGAUGAUUGACGCUGAGACCCGAAAGCGUGGGGAGCAAACAGGAUUAGAUACCCUGGUAGUCCACAGCUGUAAACGAUGGUACUAGUUGCUGCGGGAGAUGACACCUGCGGUGACGAAGCUAACGCAUUAAGUAUCCCGCCUGGGGAGUACGGCCGCAAGGCUGAAACUCAAAGGAAUUGACGGGGGCCCGCACAAGCGGUGGAACAUGUGGUUUAAUUCGACGCAACGCGCAGAACCUUACCCGGAUUUGACAUCCCGAGAAUCUCUUGGAAACUUGAGAGUGCCUCCAAGGAACUUGGUGACAGGUGCUGCAUGGCUGUCGUCAGCUCGUGUCGUGAGAUGUUGGGUUAAGUCCCGCAACGAGCGCAACCCUCGCCUUUAGUUGCCAUCAGGUUAAGCUGGGCACUCUAGAGGGACCGCCGGUGUUAAACCGGAGGAAGGUGGGGAUGACGUCAAGUCCUCAUGGCCUUUAUAUCCAGGGCUACACACGUACUACAAUGGCCGGUACAAAGGGCAGCGACUUCGCGAGGAGAAGCUAAUCUCGAAAAACCGGUCUCAGUCCGGAUCGGAGUCUGCAACUCGACUCCGUGAAGUUGGAAUCGCUAGUAAUCGUGGAUCAGCAUGCCACGGUGAAUACGUUCCCGGGCCUUGUACACACCGCCCGUCACACCACGGGAGUUGGUUGCUCCAGAAGUCGGUGAGCUAACCCGCAAGGGAGGCAGCCGCCCAAGGAGUGGUUGGUGACUGGGGUGAAGUCGUAACAAGGUA
rnacentral:rRNA from 1 species